rfam:Canis lupus familiaris chromosome 6, whole genome shotgun sequence.
GUGCUUGCUUCGGCAGCACAUACACUAAAAUCACUGAUACAGAAAAGAUUAGCAUGGCCCUGCACAAGGAUGACAUGCAAAUUUGUAAAGGAUUCCAUUAAAAC